UAUGAAUGUUAAAAAAAUCAAAUAAAAUAAAUG
rnacentral:sRNA from 1 species